rnacentral:lncRNA from 1 species
GAGACAAGGAAAGCUGGAGGACAGAGGCAGGUCACUUCUGCUGAGAGUUCCUUGCUUUACCAACUGUAUGUAUAGAUGCUGGGAGGAGUCUAGAGGAAAAGGAGUCGGAGUUUGGUAACUUUAUAGGAAUCUCUGCCCCCCAGUAGUUAGUAAUCUCUUUACCUUUCUGUUGUUCCUUUUCGGCUAGUUUCUUGCAGCUUUAAAACUGC